CUGGGAUCAGCUUCCACCCGGAAGAGAUCGCGGACGCUACCGGGCAGGACGCCACAGAGGGAAGAGUUUGAUGAUAUUCUUCAGUCAAGACGGACCCUACUUCUCAAUUACCACGGACGCAUCGAACAAAGGUUAUUUUGUGAUUCUGUGACACCAACCCCAACCCCCCCCAGAUGAACAUCCAACAAUCACAACAGGUUCUUCCUGCGGUCUGUUCCUCCAGUGAUUUCUCUCAUCCACUGCCUAGUCUGGGUCCUCUAGCAACACAGCCUGCCCUGCUCUCUGCCUGCACUGUGCUGACAGCACAUCUUUUAAAGGGCAGUUAGUAAUGGAAUGAGAUUUCAGGAAAAAUGAGUUAGGACUCUUUUGCAACUUUACGGACGAAGAAAUCAAAGCUUUAAUAGCGACUGGAGUGAAGACAGGGUCCAGCAUGCCUUAAAAUUGACCAACGGAAAAAUAUUCACAUUUUUAGAGAGAUUGCAGGGAAAAUGGCAGAGCUGGGUUUUGACCGUAAUGAAGUACAGUAUAGAAGUAGGAUAAAGGAUUAAAAAAUAAAUACAUGCGCUGCAAGAAAACAACAGGCACAGCGGUUGCAGCAGACUUGAAUGCAAGUUUUUCGAAGAGUUUGAUGCGGUCCUUGGAACCAGACCAGCCACCCAGCCCCCAGUUUUACUGGAAUCAGCCACAGAUUCUGGACAGGACAACGUAGAUAAAGAGCAAAGUGAAAAAUCGCUUACAUCGCCUUCCACGUCAUCUUCCCUGGCAUUCGUUGAAGCAGUGCAGCCAGUGAUGCAGAGCACCACACCCCGGAGAGCUUGUAAACAAACCCGGGCAGAAGCUGCAGCUGGUCAGCUGACUAACAAUCUCAUACAUUAACUGAAGGAAUCAGAUCAGCAGUUCCUGAAGGCUGAGAGAAAAAGAAGGGAGCACCAGACUAGGAUGGAGGCAAGCCGGAUGGAGCAUGAAAUGUCCAUCAUGCAAGUGUUAACAUCUUGUAUGAGAGACCAAUCACAGUCUCAGUGGCGCCCACCCCUGUCUUCAACACCUCAGACACAUUUCAUGUACAACAAUGGCAAUGACAAUUAUUUCAUCAUGAGUCAUCAAGUCAAAACCUGGAGGGUUCACAUUGGCAGCCCAAAUUGAUUAGUAAACUCAUAGGAAACAAAUAUUGGUUCAAUUUGUUAAAGUUCACUUUAUUUGUUGUUUUUUAUGU